rnacentral:lncRNA from 1 species
UGAUACUGACAACUACCAUUAGUAAUAGGAUGACUAAAAACUGUAUAAAUUUUCACUUUACAGUUCUUGUAAUUCAAUAUAAUGCAUUGGUGACUACUGUCAAAUUAAUGUGUUCCAAAUGAAUUAGACUAAUCCCUUUCUAUGCCUCCAAGUGUUCACUUAAUGAAUCAUUUUAAAUUUUAGGAAUGUAAAAAUUUUUUAAUAAUUUCAUUUUUACCUAAAAAUUGACAUGAUACCAAGCCUAUGAAAUAGGUCACUUCUUUUAAAGAAGUGUAAACUCUAUUCCUGUUCUCUCUAUUCCUUUCCUCUCUUACAAGCUCCUUCCUUCCUUUCUUUCUUUCCUUCCUUCAUUAUUUUAUGAUUUAUCCUUCCAUCAAUUUUAGGGGUAUAACCCUUUAAAAUAGAGGGUAGCAUAUCAUAUUUUAAUAUAUGGUUUGUUUUAGGGAGUUUUUCUUUUUAUUCUUAUGCUUAAUAUUAACAGAAUUUUCUGAUAUUCUUUCAAGAAUUAUUUUCUAUUGGUGCUUUACUAAGAAUAUUGAAAAUACAUAAUGCUUUUCUUCUCUUACUCCAUCCUCUCCCAUAUCAUAGAAUUUAAACUAAUAUUAUUUUACUUCCAGGUAAUUAAGCGUUACUAUAUAUUUUGACCUGUUCUUCCCAUUGUUGUCUUAUUUUUUUAAUAAUUAACUAUAUUUUUAUCAAAUCAUAUCCCUAUUAUAUACAAUUUCUCCCUUAUGACCACAAUGUAUACUUAGUUCCAAAUUCAAUGUUUUUAUGUACUCAUAAUCUUUGUAUCUAUAUUCUUGCAAAUAUUUUGGUAACUUAAAGCUCAUUUUUAGUGGAUUUUUUUUUAGAAAAGUCAUAUGGGAAUAAAAUUCUCUGGGGUUUUGCUUUUGAUAAAUUUAAUUCUGCUUUUAUUUUGAAAAUCAGUUGUCAAGAUAAACUAUACUUGGAGUUCCUGUCGUGGUGCAGUGGUUAACAAAUCUGACUAAGAACCAUGUGGUUGUGGGUUCGAUCCCUGGCCUUGCNGUGGGUUAAGGACCUGGCAUUGCCCUGAGCAGUGGUAUGCGGCUCUGAUCUGACUUUGCUCUCUGUGGCUGUUGUGCAGGCCAGCAACUACAGCUCCGAUUCAACCCCUAGCCUGGGAACCUCCAUAUGCUGCAGGAGCGGCCCAAGAAAUGGCAAAAAGACAAAAAAAAAAAAAAAAAAAAAAAAAAAGAUAUACUAUACUUGAUUUACAGACAUUCUUUCUUUUAGUGAGCAUUGUCAUCUGAUAGAAAGUGUUGCUAUUAAAAAGUCCUGAUGACAUGAUGAUCUUUCUCUUAUUAGGUGACCUAUUUGGAUGUCUUAUUUUAAAUUUCAAGAGUGUUUUUAAGUUUUAUUGUUGUAUUUUACUAGGCUAAGUCUCAGUGUUGAUCAUUCUGGUAAUUUUUUAAUUACUUAAAGCUUCAUAAUUAGUGUUUGUGUCCUUCAAUUUUUCUUCUUUUUGAAAUUCUCUGAUACAUAUAUUGGAUCUUUUUGCCUUUUACAUUUACUCUUUUCUUUUAGACCCUGAGACGUGUCAUUUCUUCUUAACUUUCAAUAUUCUUCCUUUGCAACUUCUAUUGAGCUUGAGGAAUUAUUUGUUGUUUUAAUUUAUGUUUAUGUUUUUUCUAGUCUAAUAUUUAUUUCUGAAAUAUUUUAUUCUGUUAUUCUUUCUUGAUUCCUGUAAGUUCAUUUCUUAUUUUUCCCUAAUUGUAAUUUGUCUUGCUCUUUCAUGAUUUUAUUGGCAGCCCCAACUUGUGCAAUGAGGCAAGAAAAGAAAAGGAAAUAAUAAGCAGUAUGUGGAGAAGACUGUCAGCCAGUCCAUCUGAUCUCAUGCCAGGGUCCAAAUCUCACCCUAGUUCUUUCUUACUAGUCAUAAAAUUAAUAUUUACAUAUCCAUCCAAUCAUCUUUUUUAGUUCUGAUAUGAGGCAGAAAAUUUCAACAAAAAUAUAGUAUAUAUUUUAUGAAUAUAUAAGGAUAAGAAUGUGUCCUUGAAUAUAUGAUUUGGAACAAGUCCCUCUAGUUGGAGGGGAACUGGCUUGGGGUUAAAGAAAGAAAGUGUGAAAUUGCUGAUUGCAAAUCAUAAGCUAAAGACUGAUAAUUAAAAUAUACACUUGAGUCAUAGAAAUAACAUUCUUUACAUCUGAAAUAAAAAGUUAAAUGUCAGUUAAUGUAAGUGAACCAACUAAAGAGAAGACUAAGAGAAUAAUUUUUGUAAUGAGAUUUCUGAGAAUACACACAGUUGGAUCCUCUGCCCAUGAAAAGAAAAAGCAACAUGUUUUCCACCAAAAUUGAAUGGCAACGGGGAAGAUAGCUGUCAGAUUUUCAGGGCUAGUACAAGAAGUUGGGUUCAUUCCCAAUGAUAGCCACUUGUUCCUCAAUAUUAGAGGUGAAGUCAUUUACUGAGGCCGGGGGGAAGACAGAAAUAGCAUUAAAAAUGUAAAAAGCAUGGAAGCACAUUUUAGAAAGUUAAAGUAUACCUUAAUCAGAAAAAUGUAGGAUAAACACAAUCAUAUUUACUUUUAUUCUUUUUGAAUAUUUGAUCUUUUUAAUCCAAUUUAUUUCAUUGUACUCAGCCCUAAAAAAAAAAAAAAAAAGAAAAGAAAAA